rnacentral:rRNA from 1 species
UACGAAGGGGGCUAGCGUUGCUCGGAAUUACUGGGCGUAAAGGGCGCGUAGGCGGCACUGUUAGUCAGGCGUGAAAUUCCUGGGCUCAACCUGGGGACUGCGCUUGAUACGGCAGAGCUAGAGGACGGGAGAGGAGCGCGGAAUUCCCGGUGUAGCGGUGAAAUGCGUAGAGAUCGGGAGGAAGGCCGGUGGCGAAGGCGGGUCUCUGGGCAACUACUGACGCUGAGGAGCGAAAGCGUGGGGAGCGAACAGG